UACGUAGGGGGCAAGCGUUGUCCGGAUUUAUUGGGCGUAAAGAGCUCGUAGGCGGCUCAGUAAGUCGGGUGUGAAAGCCCCGAGCUCAACUCGGGGAGGUCACUCGAUACUGCUGUGGCUAGAGUCCGGUAGGGGAGCGUGGAAUUCCCGGUGUAGCGGUGAAAUGCGCAGAUAUCGGGAGGAACACCAGCGGCGAAGGCGGCGCUCUGGGCCGGAACUGACGCUGAGGAGCGAAAGCGUGGGGAGCGAACAGG
rnacentral:rRNA from 1 species